rnacentral:rRNA from 1 species
ANNNNGGCUGCUGUACUGCAGUCGUGACGAGGUAGCCGGAAGCUUGCUCCCGGAUGUUAGCGGCGGACGGGUGAGAACACGGGGGUAACCUGCCUGUAAGACUGGGAUAACUCCGGGAAACCGGAGCUAAUACCGGAUAGUUCCUUGAACCGCAUGGUUCAAGGAUGAAAGACGGUUUCGGCUGUCACUUACAGAUGGACCCGCGGCGCAUUAGCUAGUUGGUGGGGUAAUGGCUCACCAAGGCGACGAUGCGUAGCCGACCUGAGAGGGUGAUCGGCCACACUGGGACUGAGACACGGCCCAGACUCCUACGGGAGGCAGCAGUAGGGAAUCUUCCGCAAUGGACGAAAGUCUGACGGAGCAACGCCGCGUGAGUGAUGAAGGUUUUCGGAUCGUAAAGCUCUGUUGUUAGGGAAGAACAAGUGCGAGAGUAACUGCUCGCACCUUGACGGUACCUAACCAGAAAGCCACGGUUAACUACGUGCCAGCAGCCGCGGUAAUACGUAGGUGGCAAGCGUUGUCCGGAAUUAUUGGGCGUAAAGGGCUCGCAGGCGGUUUCUUAAGUCUGAUGUGAAAGCCCCCGGCUCAACCGGCCAGGGUCAUUGGAAACUGGGAAACUUGAGUGCAGAAGAGGAGAGUGGAAUUCCACGUGUAGCAGUGAAAUGCGUAGAGAUGUGGAGGAACACCAGUGGCUAAGGCGACUCUCUGGUCUGUAACUGACGCUGAGGAGCGAAAAGCGUGGGGAGCGAACAGGAUUAGAUACCCUGGGUACCCCACGCCAUAAACGAUGAGAGCUAGUGUUAGGGGGUUUCCGCCCCUUAUGCUGCAGCUUACGCAUUAGCACUCAGCCUGGUGAGUAUGUCGGCAGAGUGAUACUCAUANAAUUGAACGGGGGCCCGCACCAACUAUGGAAGCAUGAUGGUUGAAUACGUAUCCACCUCCAAC